rnacentral:snRNA from 1 species
GGAUGUAAGGGCGAUCUGGCUGCGACAUCUGUCACCACAUUGAUCUCCAGGGUUGAUUCAGCUGAUCUCGCUGGCUAGACGAGUGUCCCCUUCCUCCCUCACCACUCCCUGUGCAUCUCUCCUGAAGAUGCACGCUCUGUCGAAGAAGAUGGCCUUCCCCAAACAGAGACGGACCGGUCUUCAGUCUAGGAUAUACGAGUAGUUGUGCUCCCCUGCUAGAACCUCCAAACAAGCUCUCAAGGUCCAAAGGUGUCCAGUCAGGACAUUUCUGU